rnacentral:rRNA from 1 species
AUGCUGGAGGUAUCAGAAGUGCGAAUGCUGACAUAAGUAACGAUAAAGCGGGUGAAAAGCCCGCUCGCCGGAAGACCAAGGGUUCCUGUCCAACGUUAAUCGGGGCAGGGUGAGUCGACCCCUAAGGCGAGGCCGAAAGGCGUAGUCGAUGGGAAACAGGUUAAUAUUCCUGUACUUGGUGUUACUGCGAAGGGGGGACGGAGAAGGCUAUGUUGGCCGGGCGACGGUUGUCCCGGUUUAAGCGUGUAGGCUGGUUUUCCAGGCAAAUCCGGAAAAUCAAGGCUGAGGCGUGAUGACGAGGCACUACGGUGCUGAAGCAACAAAUGCCCUGCUUCCAGGAAAAGCCUCUAAGCAUCAGGUAACAUCAAAUCGUACCCCAAACCGACACAGGUGGUCAGGUAGAGAAUACCAAGGCGCUUGAGAGAACUCGGGUGAAGGAACUAGGCAAAAUGGUGCCGUAACUUCGGGAGAAGGCACGCUGAUACGUAGGUGAAGUCCCUCGCGGAUGGAGCUGAAAUCAGUCGAAGAUACCAGCUGGCUGCAACUGUUUAUUAAAAACACAGCACUGUGCAAACACGAAAGUGGACGUAUACGGUGUGACGCCUGCCCGGUGCCGGAAGGUUAAUUGAUGGGGUCAGCGCAAGCGAAGCUCUUGAUCGAAGCCCCGGUAAACGGCGGCCGUAACUAUAACGGUCCUAAGGUAGCGAAAUUCCUUGUCGGGUAAGUUCCGACCUGCACGAAUGGCGUAAUGAUGGCCAGGCUGUCUCCACCCGAGACUCAGUGAAAUUGAACUCGCUGUGAAGAUGCAGUGUACCCGCGGCAAGACGGAAAGACCCCGUGAACCUUUACUAUAGCUUGACACUGAACAUUGAGCCUUGAUGUGUAGGAUAGGUGGGAGGCUUUGAAGUGUGGACGCCAGUCUGCAUGGAGCCGACCUUGAAAUACCACCCUUUAAUGUUUGAUGUUCUAACGUUGACCCGUAAUCCGGGUUGCGGACAGUGUCUGGUGGGUAGUUUGACUGGGGCGGUCUCCUCCUAAAGAGUAACGGAGGAGCACGAAGGUUGGCUAAUCCUGGUCGGACAUCAGGAGGUUAGUGCAAUGGCAUAAGCCAGCUUGACUGCGAGCGUGACGGCGCGAGCAGGUGCGAAAGCAGGUCAUAGUGAUCCGGUGGUUCUGAAUGGAAGGGCCAUCGCUCAACGGAUAAAAGGUACUCCGGGGAUAACAGGCUGAUACCGCCCAAGAGUUCAUAUCGACGGCGGUGUUUGGCACCUCGAUGUCGGCUCAUCACAUCCUGGGGCUGAAGUAGGUCCCAAGGGUAUGGCUGUUCGCCAUUUAAAGUGGUACGCGAGCUGGGUUUAGAACGUCGUGAGACAGUUCGGUCCCUAUCUGCCGUGGGCGCUGGAGAACUGAGGGGGGCUGCUCCUAGUACGAGAGGACCGGAGUGGACGCAUCACUGGUGUUCGGGUUGUCAUGCCAAUGGCACUGCCCGGUAGCUAAAUGCGGAAGAGAUAAGUGCUGAAAGCAUCUAAGCACGAAACUUGCCCCGAGAUGAGUUCU